rnacentral:rRNA from 1 species
ACCUACCCAUUACAGGGGGAUAACACUGAGAAAUCGGUACUAAUACCCCAUAACAUCCAGGGAGGCAUCUUCUUGGGUUGAAAACUCCGGUGGUAAUGGAUGGGCAUGCGUUGUAUUAGUUAGUUGGUGGGGUAACGGCUCACCAAGACGACGAUACAUAGGGGGACUGAGAGGUUAACCCCCCACAUUGGUACUGAGACACGGACCAAACUCCUACGGGAGGCAGCAGUGAGGAAUAUUGGUCAAUGGACGCAAGUCUGAACCAGCCAUGCCGCGUGCAGGAAGACGGCUCUAUGAGUUGUAAACUGCUUUUGUACGAGGGUAAACGCAGAUACGUGUAUCUGUCUGAAAGUAUCGUACGAAUAAGGAUCGGCUAACUCCGUGCCAGCAGCCGCGGUAAUACGGAGGAUUCAAGCGUUAUCCGGAUUUAUUGGGUUUAAAGGGUGCGUAGGCGGUCGGAUAAGUUAGAGGUGAAAUCCCGGGGCUCAACUUCGGAAUUGCCUCUGAUACUGUUCGGCUAGAGAGUAGUUGCGGUAGGCGGAAUGUAUGGUGUAGCGGUGAAAUGCUUAGAGAUCAUACAGAACACCGAUUGCGAAGGCAGCUUACCAAGCUACUUCUGACGUUGAGGCACGAAAGCGUGGGGAGCAAACAGGAUUAGAUACCCUGGUAGUCCACGCAGUAAACGAUGAUAACUCGUUGU